rnacentral:rRNA from 1 species
AUUGAACGCUGGCGGCAUGCCUUACACAUGCAAGUCGAACGGCAGCGCGGGGCAACCUGGCGGCGAGUGGCGAACGGGUGAGUAAUAUAUCGGAACGUGCCCUGGAGUGGGGGAUAACGCAGCGAAAGUUGCGCUAAUACCGCAUACGAUCUAAGGAUGAAAGGCGGGGGAUUCGCAAGAACCUCGUGCUCCUGGAGCGGCCGAUAUCUGAUUAGCUAGUUGGUGGGGUAAAGGCCUACCAAGGCAUCGAUCAGUAGCUGGUCUGAGAGGACGACCAGCCACACUGGAACUGAGACACGGUCCAGACUCCGUACGGGAGGCAGCA